rnacentral:rRNA from 1 species
ACAUGCCUACAACAUAGUGUUAAUGCAUUGAAUCCUAUUAGAACUCUACAGUUAAUCGCGCUUAGGAUAGAGUAGUACUGGUAUGGGUGACCGCCUAGGAAGUCCUAUUGUUUUACAUGCC